AGGAAUUAAAACUACAAACAAAAUCAAAUAUUAUUAAAGCAUCUUCUGUCCCUCUCUGAGCUUGAGCGUCUCGCCCUUCUCAGGCUCCUCUAGAGCUCUCCAUCGCACUUCAGCAACAGCAGUCCACAGGACUGCCUGCCUGGACCCUGGCCCUUGGUUCAGGGCCCACCAAAGGAGCUAGCUCCACUCCUAUAGUUCUCCCCUCCAAUUCAACUUAACUGCUGUCCUCUACACUUAACUGCUGUCCUUUUGAGGGGCUCCCGGGAUGGGAGAAGCCCUCGGUCUGCUACCCUGAAAAGAAGACUGUGACUCCAUUGAGUUUCUGCUUGAUUUUUAAAGACUUUGCUGCUGGCCCAGAUGAACCCAAAGCAAGGGCCUUUGAAGAGGCCAGCUGAGAGAAGCCAGCUUAGGGUCUGACCAGUUACUUAAAUACCCUGGAAGGGUUUAAAUUUGUUUAGUACUUUGGCCAGAGGGAAUGGGAGUGACCAACUCAUGCGGGAAAAGCCAAGGAAACCCACUCCAGAAGAGGGAACAGAGGCAAGGAGUGCCUCCAUUGCCACAGUUGACCGAGAAGGGAUGGAAUGGGGCGACCAUGCCCGUGACAAAGAUGAAGAGUCAUUUAAAGAAACAGUAGGACAGUACGGGGAAGAUCACAGAGCGAUAGCAAGUUUAUAGUGAUGGAAUUGUGUAAAGAUGACCAAAUGUGAGAGGUGAUUCUCCUGUAUUGGCAGACCCACAGGAAGUACCACAACAACAGAGAAUAUGAUUUCUUUGAAGACGGUUUGCUGAAGGACAUAGCGAAAAAUAAUUCAAGGUUGUUGGUGGUGUUCACAGAGAAGCUGCAAAUGGUGGAGCACUGCUUCUGUGCCCAAGAAAUGAACAUUGACUGGUGGGAUUGCAUCAUAGUGAAAGUUUGGAUGAUGAGCAGUGGCUGCAAAACUUUUGGAUGUGAAAGCCCAAGUUCCUGGAUUUGUGGGCUGAGCUCCCUCCAGCGCAUGGUCACCAGAACGAGAGCUGCAUUGACAGCGAAGAAGUGAGUGGCGGUUGCACUCUGGAAGCUCACAAUGUCAAAAUGCUACUGCUCAGUGGGAAAUCAUUUUGGAGUUGGAAAAUCCACAGUUGGGGCCGUUGUCAUGCAAGUGUGUAGGGCCAUUAGCUGUCUUCUGCUACACAGGACUGUGACUCUCGGCAAUGUGCAAGAAAUAGUGGAUGAGUUUGCAGCAAUGGGGUUCCCAAACUGCAGGGGAGUGGGGGAGUCCCUAUUUUGGCAUCAACCCUCCUUGCCCCAGAGUACUCAGUGGAAAAGGUUACUUUUCUAUGGUUAUGCAAGCAUUGGUGGAUCACUGGAAUGCUUCACCAAUAUCAAUGUGGGCUGGUCAGGGAAGGUGCACGAUACUCGCAUCUUUAAGAACACAGGACUGUUCAGAAAGCUGCAAGCUGGGACAUUCUUUCCCAACUGGUGGGUGCCCACUGGCAAUAUUGAAAUGCGGCUGCCAACAGUGAUUCUGGGGGACCCAGCCUACCCCUUGCUCUCCUGGCUCCAUACACUGACCACCUCUACAGCACUAAGGAAGGAUUCAGCUACCAGCUUAGCAGGUGCAGAAUGACCGCUGAAUGUGCUUUUGGUAGACUGAUGGGACACUGGCAUUGUUUACUCACUACAUUGGAUCUCCGUGAGAAAAAUGUCCCAAUGGCUAUAGCUGCCUGUUGUGUCCUGCAUAAUAUCUGUGAGGCAAAGGAGGAAAAGCUGCCUCCAACGUGAAGGGUAGAGAUGGAGUGGCUCUCUGCUGACUUUGAACACCCGGACACAAGGGCUAUUUCAGGACCCCAACGUGGAUCUGUGUGUUUGAGGGAGACUCUGAAAGAGAACUUUAACAGUCAGCUCCAGUAGUGUUUUCUGCUGGAGUUUUGGUUUCUGCUUAGGAUUGGGUAGUGCCUGCUGUACAUUUAUAAAUAUGACUGUGUGUUUUCCUUAAGCUAUCAAUAAUGUGACGCCCUUAAGCUAUGAACUGUGUGGUGCUUGCUGUACAUUUAUAAAUAUGACCUGGUGUUUUCCAGAAGCAGUGAAUUCUGUGAUGCUUGGUGUACAUUUACAAAUACUGUUUCCUUUGAACACCGUUCUGCGAUAUUUGUUGGAACUAAUAAAGGUAAUUUGAUCCUCCAAAAAUAGAACUUAAAUUGGUAGGAAAAAAUACUGCAGAAAAUAAUGUGCAAAAAAAUCCACAGGCAAUGUUUUAUGAAUUUUUAACAUAACUUAAUGAGGUGCAAAUUUAAAAUUAGAAAGGAAGGAAACAUUUAUGUCCAUUUGAAUGCAUAAAUGUAGUCCGUUGUGGGUAUACACGCACCAACUGUGAUUGUCACAGGUCAGUGUUAUAUGAAGCUGUGGUUUUCCUUGCUGUCUUCCAGUGUGGAGUGGUGUGGGUACUAGUGCACCCCAUUAUGCCACAUAGUAUGUUCAGAGGGUUUAGGCAUUCUUCAAGAAUGGCAAAGAGUGGAGAGUCCUGGAUUUUUGGACCUGUAAAUCAACCAGGAUCUGAAGCAUUUGGGUUUGCUACUUGAGAAGACCCAUUAUGUCCUGGUGCAUUUCCCUCUCCUUUUCCUGAUGGAACGCCUGGGCUUUUUUCCUAUCUUCUGUGUCUUUCUACAUGCUGUCGGUCCUAUGGGCCCUCCAGAUCCAUUGGUCACAGUGUGAUGCUUGGCUUGCAGGACCUUGCGAAACACGUCCUCAGCCGUCCUCUUCUUUCUCAACAGGAUAGGCUUUCUGCGGGUGUGGAGGGGGCACCCUGAAGGUUGCGACGCCAGAAGCUCCUCAUAAAAACAGACAGAUACUGUGAUUUACAGUCACAAUGGAAAGGGAAAGAAAACUUUCAAAACUCCCUCUCCUUAUUCCCAUCAACAACGUUAAUAUGACUUGCUUAUUGACACCAGCUUUGGAGCACCACAGCACAGCACCACUCUGGACCCCAGCUAUAGUGAGUGAUUUUCUGUUGCACAAAGCUAUAAAAUUUUCAUCCUUAUUCCAUGGAUCUAAGCAUAAACCAAUGGCACUGACUAUUGGCACUAGUUUCAACAGAAGGUAGUGCUUUUAGCUGAUAUCUCACUACGAAGGAUAACAAAGGUACAGAGAACACAGCUGCUGGCAUCCUGAAGCUGCCCGGGCCCAUAUGCCACUAGCCUGUUUACUGCAAUGUCACCAACCAAACUCAUCACAAAGUGGUGUGGGAAAGUGUCUUACCGUGGAGGAAGAAAUAAGUCAGCCAUUCCUAGAAAUUUUUGGGAGCAGAUUGCAUAGUAUCUCCUUUCAUGGCAAUCUUUCAGGAGGAUAAAAGGUACAUUUUUAUGCAUAUAAAAAGUGCUCCAGAUGGACCCCACCCUGCCUAACCCAACAGGGGAAAGGAAGGCAGGCGCCAACUCUACCUUUCUUGGUUGUACCUCCACCUCUUCUUGUACAAAUAAAACAAUGAAAAGUUGAUACCUUUGUCUUGUUAACUUGGGGAUGGGCCAGGCACCAUCUUUAAAUUUCAAUGCUCUGAGGAAAAAUAUAUGCUCACUCCCGAGUUCUCUUCCCCUUCAUCAGGCUGAUCUGUGCUUGCCUGGUGGGUCUGGCUAGACUGUGGCAGAGACUCAAACAGAUCCUGGCACACAGCAUGGCUAGAGUCCCCUGCAGUGUUUCCCUCCCCUCCCCUCAUUGUUCACAACAGGGGUCUCUAUCUCGGGCUCCUCUGAAGCAUCCACAGGGGUCUGGGGGUGGUGGUGGAGUCUCUGCCAAAUAUGGCAUACAGUUCCUUGUAGAAGCAGCAGGUCUGUGGCUCAGCAUCAGAUCUACUGUUGCGCUCCCCGCCUUGUGGUAUCCCUGGUGAAGUUCCUGGACUUUCACAUGACACUGCUGCUCAUCCCAGUCAUACCUCUUUGCCUGUAUCUCCAGGCAAUCUGCGGGUAGGUGUCCAUGUUUCCACAGCUGGGCUGUAGUUAUGCUUGCGCAGCCUCUUCUCCCAGCUGGUCUAGGAGCUCUAAUAGUUCCUGUUCACUCCAGGCAGGAGUGUGUCUAGUGGAGCUGGCAUGGUUGCCAUACCACAAGAGAGAGCUGCUAGGUGUGCUGCCAAGGAGGGCAGUCAGGAAAAGGCAUUUCAAAAUGUGGGGAGAGGGUUGCUUCUGGCCUGUGACUCCUCGGCAGUUGAGUUUACAAUGGUGAUCAGAGAAUGGGGCAUUGUGGGACAGCUGCUGCAGGAUUGUGAGGGUUGACACAGGUCAUGCAUUGUCUAUGCUUGCACUGUCAUCCUCAGUAGGUCAACCAUGGCUCUACGCCAUUUGGGGAGGUGGUUGCAGUGCCAUAAUGGGGCAGUUACAUCAGCCUGAAACAAAUUUGUGCAUAGACACAUGCACAAAUAGAUCAAUGCAAAGUGACUUGCAUGGAACUAACUUUGUAGUGUAGACCAGGCCCUAAAGUAAAAAGCGCCUCUGAAAACAUUUUAAAGUUCUCCACUCCCUUUUUCUCACUUGUUCUGCAGAGCAGGGAUGUUCUCUCACCCUGCCUUGGGGCAUGUCUACGCUUGCCAUUUAAAGCGGAAAAAGUCCCUUUUUUUGUGCAAAAACCAUGGGAGCGUCUACACUCUCCAAUGACAUUUUGCAGUGAGACUCAGACGUUUCACCACAAAAAGCAAACCACCUCCAUGAGAGGCAUAUAGUUCGUACCAGUGAUGCUUUCGCGGUGACGUGCAAGUGAAGACACAUUCUUCCCAGUGGUGUAGCCAGGUGGAGAGAACAGGGGGAGCGGAGAUAAAAAAAAGGCACCACCUGCUUGGACUCACCCGGCGGAGCUCCGGGUCUUCGGCGGCACUGAAGGAACCCCUGCCGCCGAAGUGCCUCCGGAGACUGGAGCGAGCAAAGGACCCGCCGCCGAAGACCCAGAGCGCUGCCGGGUGAGUAAAAAUUAAAAAGGCGCCACGCCCGCUCGGUGGGAGAGCAGCCGCUGCCCUGCUCCCUCACUAGCUACGCUCCUGAUUCUUCCUGUUUACACAGCUUUUCGCCUCCGCAGGAUCUCCCACAGUGCCUGGAUGACCACUCUCGCCAGCAGCUCUGCUGCUCUAAUGCCAGGUAAACAGACAUCCACCCCUCCCCCUGUAAAGCCCUGGGAACUUUGAAACUCCCGUUUUCUUGGCAAGGGCUCACUGAUCUGGCCAGGUGACAAUGCCUGCUCCACGGAGCCAAUGAUCCCCUGCUCCCCUGGAGCAAUGUCAAGCUACUGGAGCUUAUCCGUGUCUGGGGAGAGGAGGCUGUGCAGGGACCCAGAAUGCCCUGCAAUCAACACCCCCUUCCCACAAGACCCAUCGUCAAACUGGAGAGCGCUGCACUGUGGGAUAGCUGCCCUAGAGCGCUGCUCUCAUCCGCGAUGGAAGUGCUGCUCAUGUAAACACUCUCUGACGCCUGAGGAAUUAAGUGAGUACACAAACCAGCGCUUUUCUUUCACUGGUUCCCUGUCACUGGUGAAACUUACAGCGCAAAAACUCUGCAAGUGUAGACAUACCCUUGGUUGGACGGAUUCUGUCUGUCCCUUCAUCCUUAGAAGAUGAGCACAUGACCCUUCAGACUGUUUUUUACAGUGUUGUGUACAACACCUAGCGCACAAAUGGGGCCCUGUUCUGCAUGGAGCCUUUGGCUGCUGACACAAUAUAAAUAGUAAUAUUGUUGUGGUGAAAGGCGUUAAUGGCUGCCAACAGGUCUGAAACACAAUCACAGACCUUGUUAAAACCUGUGUGUGUACCAAGCACUCUUAACCUGCCUUGUGUGGUUGAGGCGCAGCGCUGGGAAAAAACCCCACCUCCACGAGGGGCGAAGCUCCCAGCUCUGGGGCACUGUUUACACUGGUGCCCGAGACUUGCUGCACUCAGGGGGGAGGUUUUUCACCCCCCUGAGAGAGAAAGUUGCAGCGCUGUUAAGUGCCAGUGUAGAUAAGCCCUUAUAUGCUCCACAGAAGGAGCAAUCAAGCUUCUUUGUGUAGUAAACAAAGCAAUGGCUGCAUGGCUGGCCCUGAACUAACCCCGGUAGAUUAACAGGGCAAAUGCAGGGGCGACAGGCUUGUCCUCACCUACAGCAAAGGGCAGCUUUGAUGCUGUGGUGCUUUAGUGAAGAUGCUACGACACCGAUGGGAGAGCUUCUCCCUUCAGGGGAGUUAAUCGACCUCCCGAGAGGCAGUAGCUACAGCGCUGUCCAUGGUGGGGGGGAUGGAUUUUUCACACCGCUUUGUGAUGGGGUUAUACUGAUCUAGAUCUGCAUAGUAGACAUGGUCUAAGAGAUCAGUUGUAAACUGUGUGUGUUGAAGAAAGCCAGGUAAAGGAGUGAGAAUGUGACUGUGAGAGGAAGCAGAGGGACAUAGCUUCUUGGGCACAGACCUUGCUGGAGAGGCUAACUUGGGGAUUUCCAAGCAGGGAAACUGCCUAUGGUUGUUUGUUUCUGCUGUGUUCAGGGAGACAGGCCUGUGGGUACAUUCUUUGUAGGUAAACAAGAUUACACCAAGCGUACACUGACACAAACCCCAGUUUCUCAGCCUAAUGGAAAGGAUGCUGCUUGACUGACUGCCCGGACCACUUUGACUACAAGCUUCAGUCCACCUCUUGCCAAAGGGGGCUCUGUGCAGCUGCAAAGCCAGCUCCUCGUUCCUGAAGACUCAGCAAAGACCUUUCCAGUGCGCAGGCCUUGUGGGUGGAAAACUUGGGGACAAAACUAGACUCGAGCUCCACCCAUAGGUAUUGUUUUUAUUCCUGUAGUGCCCAGAAGCUGCAACCAAGAUCAGGGCCCCAUUGUGCUAGGCACUGUGCCAACACAUAGUGAGAGUCAAGCCCUGCCUCAGAGAGCUUAGAAUGUAGAGAAGACAAAGGGUGGGGGAAACCGAGGCACAGCGAGGGGACGUGACUUGCCCAAGGUCACCCAUUAGGCCAGUGGUAGAGCUGAGACAAUAACUCAGGUCUCCUGAGUCCCAGCCUUUUAUGCCUUUUCAUAGCACUUACCUUCUUUGUUUUAGAAGCUGAUGGAAACUGAUCAGAGCAGUGUGCCCUGUCUGUUGGCCUGGGAAAGCCAAAGUAGUCCAUCGUGCUGUGUCCCAUUUCCUUCUCCCUGCUGUGGUUUUCCGUUGACUCUAGUGAUGGUCGGCUGUGAAGUCUCUGACACAGGCGAGGUUUUUGUCUAAGAUAUCCCAGUGGGGUUUGCAGUGGACACUUAACUAAGGGAAGCUGAACUAAGGAAAUUCCCAGCCCACCCACACAUGACAUAUCUCAGAGCAUUUUACCCUGAUUUCCAGAUGGGGUAACUGAGGCACAGAAAGAUGAACGGAGAUGCCUAAUGGCCAGUGGCAGAGGUAAGAAAGAACCCAGGUCUCCUGAGUCCCAGUCCAGCGCACAGCCACACUGCUUCUCAUCAGUGAAUGAAUUGCGAUUGUUUUACAGCUGAAUGAAAAUGAUUACUCACCACUGAUAAGACAAUUGGACGUCAUAUGCAAAUUCCUGCUCUCUAAUGGCCUCAUAAGAGCUUUUUUCUGAACCUCAGCCUUCUCUACUCUUUACAAUGACAGUGUAAUUUUUUUUUUUUGAUGCUCAAGAUCUUUAUCAUCCAGAGAUUUCUGAUAAAGGACGUUCAGAGCCAUGUUUUCCUGGAGGCCUCAAAUGGCUUUCUGAAUUGGAGGGGUCAAAGCUGUGCGAGCCAGCACCUUGUAUUUUCGCACACACACUAGUAGGUAGGUGUCAGUCUGCCAGAUUUGCAUAGCAAAACAUAAUUUGCCAGUGCAAACGUGGGCUUUUUGCGUGUACACAAAAUCGUGGGCCCAGAUUUAGAGGUUUCUGCUGAAAAUAUUGCUACUGGGACGUAUGUAGCAAAAUGUAUUAGGUCAGUUCCUGUCCUCCACUGCAGUCACUUUGCACCAGUCCACAAGCUCAAGGUACCAGGAAGCCAUCUGGUCUGGCUGCCUGAAUUUUCCAUCAGUGUAGGGAAGUCCCUAGAUGGCUUAUUGCUGGUAUAGUGGCUCUGACUCCUCACCCCUCUCUGCCCCCUGACAUAGGUGGCAUGGCUGGGUGCCAUUGCAUCCAGCUGAACCCUGGCUGCUGGAGCUGUCCCUAUUGACUUUGGGCAGCCAACACAAUUUAGAGCAGCCCCAAGAGUACUCUAAGAUGUGCCUUUGGACCAGACUGGCAAUUUAAGGACUGGGGUGUUUUAAAUCCUCUGUUAACUACUCUCUCCUGAACAGCACUGUGUACAGAAGGGUCAAACUCCAGGAUCUGGUCCAUUGACUUUAUAUUUUGAUGAGUAUCAAGAUUUAUGGUCCCUCUAGGUCAGUGGUCUCCAAACUUUUUGGUUCGCGCACCCCCAGGGUGAAGACCGGAAGACCUGCCGCAGACGCGCCACUGGAGGGGAACACCAGCCGUGGACGUGCAGAGCUGCUGCCGAAGAAAAAGAAUGGCGAGGUGCCAUCUGGCGGUGCUCCUGCUGCCGCGCACCCCCUGGGAUCAUCUCAAGGGUGCGCGCACCCCAGUUUGGAGACCACUGCUCUAGGUAGUCACUGACCCUCAGCACAAGGUCCAGUCUUUUCCCCUGUGGUCAAUGAACCCUGAAGCUUACUUCAGUGGAAGUCAAUAUUUAUUCUUCUUAAUCAUUUGCAUUUAUUGGUACUAAAAUAAACGAAAGCAGAACAAAGUAGUUGCCUUGUUCCACUGAUUUUGUUGGGCACAGCUUGGUUCAGAGCUGAAUCACAUGGUCAGACUUUCCAACACUGUUUGGGCAGUUGAUAGCCAGAAGAGCUGACACUAGCCAAGGGAAAACUGCAUGUCAGACCAGGAGGGAUGCUGACCUUGCUGGUUAAAUUCCUUGAAGUGGUUUCGCAUGUA